GACGAACGCUGGCGGCGUGCUUAACACAUGCAAGUCGAACGGAAAGGCCCUGCUUUUGUGGGGUGCUCGAGUGGCGAACGGGUGAGUAACACGUGAGUAACCUGCCCUUGACUUUGGGAUAACUUCAGGAAACUGGGGCUAAUACCGGAUAGGAGCUCCUGCUGCAUGGUGGGGGUUGGAAAGUUUCGGCGGUUGGGGAUGGACUCGCGGCUUAUCAGCUUGUUGGUGGGGUAGUGGCUUACCAAGGCUUUGACGGGUAGCCGGCCUGGGAGGGUGACCGGCCACAUUGGGACUGAGAUACGGCCCAGACUCCUACGGGAGGCAGCAGUGGGGAAUAUUGCACAAUGGGCGGAAGCCUGAUGCAGCAACGCCGCGUGCGGGAUGACGGCCUUCGGGUUGUAAACCGCUUUCGCCUGUGACGAAGCGUGAGUGACGGUAAUGGAUAAAGAAGCACCGGCUAACUACGUG
rnacentral:rRNA from 1 species